UACGGAGGGUGCGAGCGUUGUCCGGAAUCAUUGGGCGUAAAGGGCGCGUAGGUGGCCCCUCAAGCGUGCGGUGAAAGUCGGGGGCUCAACCCCCGAUCGGCCGUGCGAACUGGGGGGCUGGAGCACUGUAGAGGCAGGCGGAAUUCCGGGUGUAGCGGUGGAAUGCGUAGAGAUCCGGAAGAACACCGGUGGCGAAGGCGGCCUGCUGGGCAGCUUUGCUGACACUGAGGCGCGACAGCGUGGGGAGCAAACAGG
rnacentral:rRNA from 1 species